UCCCUUAAAAAUACGGACAUCACGACAGGCAGUUAUAAGAAAGGUCAAUACCGAUAUAAACCACACAAUCCAAACCAUCCUAGCUCCAUAAAUCCCACGUGAAAAAUAAGAAUCAGAACCUUAAAUGACCUUUACAAGUUCUAUGCAAAACUUAUGCUGAGCAAAAAUUAUAGUCUAAAACUAAUUUCAAUUGUGUGCAAUAAUAAUGUGUAGUCCAAGGGUGCUACUCCCACCCCAUGCCGAUCGAUGUCAUUAGGUACCUAAAAACCAAAUUAAACAUAAGAGUGAGUAAAGAAUACUCAGCAAGUACAAUCUUGAACUAGUAAAACAUACGCAUGAUUUAUGCAUUAAGAAACCAACAUGAAGGGUUGGAUUUACUUUAUUUUUAAACCAAAGAAGUCAAAAGAUAGUAGUUCCCUCCCGGGCAGGUGUGAAUAUCCUCUUAGCAUUACCGGUAAGCCAAGCAAGCGUAAUCAGCGCUUCACAAGGAUCAUGAAUAAAGAUCCAAAUUGCACUCCCAUAGCUACGCAUGGUUCUUGAAUAAUGUAAACAGAACAUCCGGAAUAAUGAAACAUGAAUAACGUCAUGAAUUUGAAUAUGGGUCGAAACACGAAUAAAUAGCAUAACGUCAUAGCCAUACAAUCAGUAAUAACAAGCAAUUGAAUAAUAAUUAUGCAAGUAAAGCCAAACAAAACAACUCAGUUUUGUCCAUCACAUAAGUCCGUCUUGUACUUACUUUAACUCAUUCGAUACUCCGACUCAACUCCUCCAACGUUGGAACCCUCCACACCUGUGGAGCAAAACUACGCAUAAACCACUAUAUUCAACUAACGAUGGUUACAAGGGAUAUUUACUAAAAUCGAAACCUAGAACAUAUAAACCUUUUACCGAUUUAUAUUAAAUAACCUAUAGCUGUUCCAUUACUGUUUUAUGAGUAACUCACAAACCGUCUAACGGAAACUAGCAAAUAAUACAACUUCGGACAUCUAGACAAAAUUGUCUACAACUUUCAUGUUGAGCACAAAAUCAGAUUAUGCCUCUGAAAAUCCCAGAUUAAGGAAAAACGAACUGCUGUCCUGAUUUCCGGACCCGGUCAGCAGUACUGUUUUUGCUGUUUCUCCUAAACCGUUUAUCGGAAUCGAGUGAAACUAGCACCGUUGGAAAGAUAUUGACAAUGACUACAAACUUUAUUUAGGACAACUAACCUGAUUCCUGAUGGUUUAAUACCAGAUUUGAAAAUACGGUUUCAGCCUAGCGUUCGAUAUAAAAUAAAUUCGAAAAAACCGGAAACAGAUCGUCUUGAAUAUAAAUUAGAAACAACUAUAGACUAAAACGGAUUACCUAGCAGUACUAAUGUAUAAGAAAAACGAAGAAUUUGGAAAUAUUCACCAAAUUCCCCAAAUUUCCCUUCUUCUAUCAAAUUUCCCCUUCUUUCCCUCCUUCCUGUUCUUCUCUGCCUUCUCUCCCUCCUUCCUGUUCGUUGCAGGCCAACAGCAGCAGCAGCAGAAACGAAUAUCGGCAGCAACAGCAAGCCGUGCACCACCAGCAAGGAAGAGAUCAGAUCGGCAACAGCAGGGUUCGGCAGCAGCAGGGAAAUUAACAGAAACAACAGUAGCUCACAAACGACCGGCUGCGGACGACGACGGCUGUGGCGACCGGCGACGGCUGCACCAGCGGCGGCACCGGCGAAGAGAGGAACAGCAGCGGCGGCGGCAGAGUGCAGGAGGUGCGGCGGCUAGGGCUACAGGAGAAUCGCUCCUGUUUCUUUUUUUUCGUUUGUUUUUUUUGGUUGGUUAUAUAAAGAGACUAAAUAAGAUCUAACGGCUCACAUCUAUUCAAUCCUCGGGACUUCGUUCGGACUCCGAUUACUAUAAAUUUAUAGUCUAUUUUGCACUACUCGGCGAGCUCUACGCAUCCACGGUUCCCGAUCGCCUAUACGAACAAUGGUUUAAAAGUUGAACUUUUGCGCGUUUGCUCUAAUAUUCCGCGAGAUAUAUUAAUUUAAAACUCGGGGUAUUACAUUCUUCCCCCCUUCGAUCGAAUUCGCCCUCGAAUUCGCCCAAUCAUACUCUAGAACACGGGAUAUUACAUUCCUCCCUCCUUCAAUCGAAUUCGCCCUCGAAUUCGUCCAGUUAUACCUCGGACAAGUAUAGAAAGGAACUCAUAGGUAGGACUUAUAUAACUCACCAGACGUGAAUAACUCUGGAUACUUCUCCCGCAUCUGUGACUCAAGUUCCCAUGUGGCCUCUCGCUCGGUCUGGUGCGUCCAGAGAACCUUGACAUACUUGAUAGUUCUAUGCCUGAGCACCCUCUCAGAUUCCUCCAAUAUUCUUACAGGAUGAGACUCAAAUGUCAAAUCUUGCUCAAUGGUCAUCGGCUCUACGGUAAUAUGAUGUUCAGGGUCUCUCAAAUAUUUUCUCAACAUGGAAAUAUGGAAUACAUAAUGUACACCUUUCAUGGACUCUGGUAACUCAAGGCGAUACGCUAGGAUUCCAACUCUUUCCACUAUCGAGAAUGGACCAAUAUACCUAGGGCUGAGUUUGCCUUUCGUUCCAAAUCUCACAACACCUUUGGUUGGAGAUACCUUUAGAAGUACUUGAUCGCCCACUUCAAACUCUAAUUCUCGUCUUCUGACAUCGGCGUAGCUCUUCUGCCUACUUUGAGCUGCAAGCAUGUGUUGUCGUAUUUCUGCUAUCCGUUCUGUGGUCUGUUGUACCCAACCGGGUCCUAAAAUAGCUCUCUCCCCUAUGGAAUCCCAACACAAUGGGGAUCGACACUUUCUUCCAUAAAGUGCCUCAUAUGGUGCCAUUUGAAUGCUAGCAUGGAAACUAUUGUUGUAAGAAAAUUCUACAAGCGGCAAAUGAUCCUCCCAACUGCCUUUCCAUGAAAGGAUACAUGAUCUCAACAUAUCCUCUAAAGUUUGAAUAGUCCGCUCAGAUUGACCAUCAGUCUGAGGGUGAAAAGCCGUACUGAAUUUCAAUUGAGUAUCAAAUGCCUCUUGCACAGAUUCCCAGAACUUAGAAGAAAACUUAGCAUCCCUAUCAGAAACAAUCGAGCGAGGCACACCAUGUAACCUCACUACCUCGCGUGUAUAGAUCGGUGCCAAGUCACUCGCAGAAUAAGUGGUGCGGAUAGAAAUGAAAUGUGCCACCUUACUCAGACGAUCUACAACCACCCAGAUGGCGUCCUUUCCUCGUGGAGUUCGAGGUAGCCCAACCACGAAAUCCAUAGCAAUAUCAUCCCAAGGCCAUACAGGAACUUCCAAUGAUUGCAACUUUCCAGCAGGACUCUUAUGUUCAGCCUUUACUCGCUGACAUACCCCACAUGACGCCACGUACUUGGCCACAUCCACUUUCAUCCUCUUCCACCAAUAGAUCUUCUUCAGAUCAUGAUACAUCUUGUUCUCCCCAGGAUGCACAGUAUAUGGUGUUCGGUGUGCUUCUCGCAAAAUCUCUUCCUUGACUUUAGCUUUUUGUGGAACACAUAAACGCCCAUGGAAUCGCACAGCUCCCGAGGAAUCCAAAGUGAAAUCUCCAGUUUUUCCUUCCUUUACACGUUUCUUAACUUGUUGCAGCAACCGAUCGUGUUGUUGGGCCUCUAGCACUCGUUGGGGUAUGGCGGACUCAAGAAUGACUCGUGACUCGGUACUUGCCACUCCAACAUAACAAUAGGAGAUAUCCAUCCGUUCAAAAUCAGUUAUCAAACAACUCAUAGUUGGAGGAACGACCUUACGGCUUAGAGCAUCUGCAACCACAUUCGCCUUACCCGGUGUGUAUUGAACGUUAAGAUCAUAGUCUUUAAUCAACUCUAGCCACCUCCUCUGCCUUAAGUUCAAAUCCUUCUGAGUGAAGAUAUAUUUCAGACUCUUAUGAUCAGUGAAAAUAUCACAAGAUUCUCCAUACAGGUAGUGCCUCCAAAUUUUGAGAGCAAAGACCACUGCUGCAAGCUCAAGAUCAUGAGUGGGGUAAUUCUGCUCAUGCUUCUUUAACUGCCUAGAUGCAUAAGCUAUAACAUUGCCCUCUUGCAUAAGAACACAACCAAGGCCUACUCGUGAAGCAUCGGAAUAGACAGUGAAACGUUUACCAGGUUGGGGCAAAGUAAGCACCGGAGCAGUUACUAGCCUCUGCUUCAAUUGUUGGAAACUACACUCGCAUUGGUCCGUCCACUGAAACUUCACAUCCUUAUGUGUGAGCAUCGUCAUAGGUUUAGUGAUAAUCGAGAAAUCCUUCACAAAGCGUCGGUAGUACCCCGCCAUACCCAAAAAACUCCUCACAUCCUUAACAUUAGUCGGCCUUUCCCAUCCGACAACACUUAAAACUUUGCUUGGAUCAACCGAGAUAUCUUGCUGAUUAAUUACAUGCCCUAGGAAAGCCACUUCAGGAAGCCAGAACUCACACUUCUUCAGUUUAGCAUAGAACUUGUUUUCUCGUAGGGUCUCUAGUACCAUCCUCAGAUGACGCUCAUGCUCCUCUACAUCUUUGGAGUAAAUCAGAAUAUCAUCAAUAAACACCACCACGAAAUUAUCUAGAAAACUAUGCAACAUGCUAUUCAUCGCCUCCAUAAAAUAGGCCGGAGCAUUGGUCAGCCCAAAGGACAUUACUCUAUACUCAUAAUGCCCAUACCUCGUGGAAAAUGCAGUCUUCUCAAUAUCCUCUUCUCGCACUCGAAUUUGGUUAUAACCAGAUUGCAAGUCAAUUUUAGAGAACACCUUCGCUCCCUUUAACUGAUCAAACAAAUCUUCACUACGAGGCAAUGGGUACUUGUUCUUGAUUGUCGCAGCAUUUAAGGCCCGAUAGUCCACACACAUACGCCAACUUCCAUCCUUCUUCUCAGUAAAAAUAACAGGUGCGCCCCAUGGCGACACACUCCGUCGGAUUAACUUCUUAGAUAAUAGAUCAUCUAAUUGUUUCUUCAACUCUUCUUGGAAAGGACGAGCUAACCGGUACGGGGCUCUGGAGAUAGGUUGUGUUCCAGGAACAAGAUCAAUACGGAACUCUACAUCACGCUCAGGUGGCAUCCCUGGCAAUUCUGCGGGAAAAACAUCAGGAUAAUCUCGCACUACAGGAACAUCUUCAAUCACUAAAGGCUUGGAUGACUUCUCGGCUAAGGCCCAUAAUAACCCCGUCUUUACAGCACGCUGCCCAGGAAAUAACCUUGACAUCACGAAAAGAGAAUGCGGAGGCGCGCUCCCUUGGAAAACCAUCUCCUCGCCUGAUGGAGCUUCCAAGGUAAUAGUCUUCCAGAAACAAGAGAUUACAGCAUGAUAUCGGUUCAACCAAUCCAUGCCCAAGAUCACAUCAAAGAGCGGUAAGGGAAUCACAAUUAGAUUUGCCACAAAUUCCUCCCCAUCAAUAGAGAUUGCACAACCUGGACAUACUACUGAACUAGAGAUUAUACCCCCUGGAGAGCUGACUUGGACAGAUCGAGAGACCUCUUGACUAAAUAGAUUAGCUCUUUUCGCAAACUCGAUUGAAACAAAGCAAAAUGUAGCACCAGAAUCAAACAGAACUAGGGCAUCAUGCGAAUCAACUGAAAGUGUACCUGUAACGACAUCCGGGCGACCAAGGGAUGAAGCUACAGGCAUGUUGUAGACUCCAGCCAUAGCUGGGGUAGUAGAGGCUGAGACCUGCUGGUGAGGUGGAGCUGAAGCAGAAGGAUGCGCCAUAGGCGGUGCAGGCAACUGGAGUGGAGCACGUGGAGCAAAAGAUUGAGGCAUGGGCCAAUACUGUCCUGGUAAUGGUGGUGGUGGGUAAUUAUGUGUGAACUGCUGGUAAGGAAGUGGAUAAGUUGUCAUCAUCUGAACGGCACCACGGGGAGUACUAGUGGAUGAACCUGAACCUCGAGGAUAGCUAGCUGUCGAAGAGGUUGCUGAAUAGGAGCUCGGCUUUUGCCACUUGAUGAUAGAAUUUGGGUUACGCUUACAUACCAACUCCAUGUGUCCAGCUUUGCCACACCCACGACAUGCCCCAGUAAACCCACACUCUGCUGAAUGGUGAUUCUUUCCACACUUAAAGCAAAUUAGUCCUUGCCCUGGCACAGGGCGAAUCAACUGAGACUCCGUUGGACGUGAAGCUGCAUUAGGCUGAGAACCCCACUGCCUAGGUUUAGAUGAUGGUUGAGUGACCUGAUUUUGUUUGUACUUCUUGAAAUGUGGUCGCUGCGAGUUCUCACCCCCUUCCUAAUGAGCUCUCUUCUGCUCAUUACCAGUGACAUUACCAGAACGAUUCUUCUGCGCAGUAGUAAUUUGGAGCUCAACCUCCAUCCCUCGAGCCUCCUCAACUGCAUUGAGGUAUAUGGUAGGCAGGUUUCUUCCCAUCACUUCUCUAUACCGAGCAUUGAGCCCUCGAAAGAACUUCCUAGCCUUCUCACGCUCAUCACUUGCCACGCUAGGCACAAAGCGUACAAUACUGCUGAACUCCCGUUCAUACUCAUCAACGGUCUUGCUUCCCUGUUGGAUAUUGUUUAACUCAUCACUCAUCUUGUCCCUAAAUGAUUAUGGAUAAUACUUAGCUCUGAACUGCUGAAGAAAAACUUCCCAAGUAAUAGCACCACGAUCAGGGUUCCACGCUUCAACAACUCCAUCCCACCAAAUGUCCGCCUGACCAGUCAACUAAAAAGGCAUGAAAGUAACCUUCUCCUCAGGAGUCAUUCUAGAUCCCCUCAUAUACUUCUCCAUCUUGCGUAACCAGUCUGCAGCAUUAACGGGAGUACCAGACCCAUCAAAUGUGUCUAAGCGCAUGGAUGUCCAUCUAGUGAGUGUCAUCCCCUGAGCAGCUCGAGGAGCAUCAUCAGAGACAGCAGCUGAGUGGCUACCACCCUCCUCCUCUUCCAUGUGCUCAUCCUCCAUCUGGUUCGAGGAUGCUGCCUCAUUAUGGCGACCUCUACCACGACCUCUUCCACGGCCUCCAGCACGGCCCCUACCACGACCUCCACGAUUAGGAAUAGGGGAUUCAGCAACCGAGUUGUUCCCAACCUCUUCAUUAUCCUGAGUAUUUUCAACUUCUUCAUUAUGGUGGCCCCUACCACGACCUCUACCUCCGCCUCUCCCGCGGCCUCUGUUAGCCAACCGAACACUCACUCUAGGUGGCAUAGCUAUAUCAAACACAAGCAUUUAUACGUCAUUAGUUUAACAAUAGGUUAGACAAUGGCAUGCAAGGAAACACAAUCAUACACAUAUAUAUGCAGCAGAAACAUAAAUGCUAGGAAUGACCCAUGCUCCCAUUCCUAUUGUGCACCAGUGUGUCAAGUUCUUUUAGAUGUUUAUAUAUAACCCAAGUUCUACUCUUAUUAUUUCCUACCCUAAGAGAAAGUAUUUUUUUUAAUUGGUUAGGAACUCUAGUUCAAAAUUUUAUGUUGAUUUAUAUAUCUCAUUACCCAGUCACUUCCCAUGGACCUACCGCCCGCUCUGAUACCAACUGUAACACCCCAGGUAACCACGUACAUAGAAUGCCACACCAAAAUACACUCAAAAACUAAGUCCUAAAAUUAUUAGAAAUUUCGGCAGAGUCACCCCUAAAAAUACGGACAUCACGACAGGCAGUUAUAAGAAAGGUCAAUACCGAUAUAAACCACACAAUCCAAACCAUCCUAGCUCCACAAAUCCCAUGUGAAAAAUAAGGAUCAGAACCUUAAAUGACCUUUACAAGUUCUAUGCAAAACUUAUGCUGAGCAAAAAUUAUAGUCUAAAACUAAUUUCAAUUGUGUGCAAUAAUAAUGUGUAGUCCAAGGGUGCUACUCCCGCCCCAUGCCGAUCGAUGUCAUU
rnacentral:lncRNA from 1 species